rnacentral:rRNA from 1 species
GAUCAUGGCUCAGGAUUAACGCUGGCGGCAUGCCUAAUACAUGCAAGUCGAAUGAGAAGCUUGCUUCUCAUGGCGAACGGGUGAGUAACACGUAGGUAACCUGCCUUACACUCGAGGAUAACCGUUGGAAACGACGGAUAAUACUGGAUAGGACAGAGAUUCGCAUGAGACUCUGUUUAAAAAGCAAUGGUGUAUGAGGGGCCUGCGGUGCAUUAGCUAGUUGGUGAGGUAACGGCUCACCAAGGCGAUGAUGCAUAGCUGGACUGAGAGGUUGAACAGCCACAAUGGGACUGAGAACGGCCCAUACUCCUACGGGAGGCAGCAGUAGGGAAUUUUCGGCAAUGGGGGAAACCCUGACCGAGCAAUGCCGCGUGAACGAUGAAGUAUUUCGGUAUGUAAAGUUCUUUUAUUAGGAAAGAUAGUGACGGUACCUAAUGAAUAAGCUCCGGCUAACUACGUGCCAGCCGCAGC